AGGUAUUCUUCUACUUUAGAAUUAUCCUGGGUAUGCUGUAGACUGUUUUGUUGAUUCAACAGCAGGAUUUAUGAUAAAUGGAUAUAUUACUGUGAUUUUUGUGUUGUCUUAAUUAAUACACUGUCUUACAUUGCAUAGUCUUACAUCAUCCGUGUGAGCAACAACAGGACCAACACAGGACACUAACAUGAAGUGGAUGACAUAAUUGGAAAAACACAGAAUUACACAGCUUUGAUUCCAAGAGGAGAACAAGUAAUUUUUGCCAUUUCUGUGAUGUGCCACAACCACCUGAAGGAACAGAUACCUGGUAUUUCGGAUGUGGGCUAUGUCUAAUAAACAUAGUAACAUGAUCACACUUUUA